AACGUAGGAGGCAAGCGUUAUCCGGAUUUACUGGGCGUAAAGCGUGUGCAGGCGGUUGUCCAAGUCGUGUAUGAAAGCGCUCCGCUUAACGGGGCGAGGCUAGACGAGACUGGGCGACUAGAAUCAGACAGAGGCAAGCGGAAUUCCGGGUGUAGUGGUGAAAUGCGUAGAGAUCCGGAGGAACACCAGAGGCGCAGGCG
rnacentral:rRNA from 1 species